rnacentral:rRNA from 1 species
AUACGUAGGGUGCAAGCGUUAAUCGGAAUUACUGGGCGUAAAGCGUGCGCAGGCGGUUUUGUAAGACAGAGGUGAAAUCCCCGGGCUCAACCUGGGAACUGCCUUUGUGACUGCAAGGCUAGAGUACGGCAGAGGGGGAUGGAAUUCCGCGUGUAACAGUGAAAUGCGUAGAUAUGCGGAGGAACACCGAUGGCGAAGGCAAUCCCCUGGGCCUGUACUGACGCUCAUGCACGAAAGCGUGGGGAGCAAACAGGAUUAGAUACCCUGGUAGUCCACGCCCUAAACGAUGUCAACUGGUUGUUGGGUCUUCAUUGACUCAGUAACGAAGCUAACGCGUGAAGUUGACCGCCUGGGGAGCACGGCCGCAAGGUUGAAACUCAAAGGAAUUGACGGGG